rfam:Gossypium arboreum cultivar AKA8401 contig_74640_1, whole genome shotgun sequence.
AACCUAUGGUGAGGGCACAUUCUCAGUAAGUUCUUGUAUCUCUCCCAUGCAUCGUAAAGUGUUUCUAAAUCCAUCUGCACAAAAGAAGAGAUAUCAUUACGUAAUUU